AGUAAGCAUUUUCGCAUGAUUAAAGGUUUACCGGUGUAAGAUGGGGAUGCGUUCCAUUAGAUAGUAGGCGGGGUAACGGCCCACCUAGUCUUCGAUGGAUAGGGGUUCUGAGAGGAAGGUCCCCCACAUUGGAACUGAGACACGGUCCAAACUCCUACGGGAGGCAGCAGUGAGGAAUAUUGGUCAAUGGACGAGAGUCUGAACCAGCCAAGUAGCGUGAAGGAUGAAGGUUCUAUGGAUUGUAAACUUCUUUUAUACGGGAAUAAACGGAUCCACGUGUGGAUUUUUGCAUGUACCGUAUGAAUAAGGAUCGGCUAACUCCGUGCCAGCAGCCGCGGUAAUACGGAGGAUCCGAGCGUUAUCCGGAUUUAUUGGGUUUAAAGGGAGCGUAGAUGGGUUGUUAAGUCAGUUGUGAAAGUUUGCGGCUCAACCGUAAAAUUGCAAUUGAUACUGGCAGUCUUGAGUACAGUUGAGGUAGGCGGAAUUCGUGGUGUAGCGGUGAAAUGCUUAGAUAUCACGAAGAACUCCGAUUGCGAAGGCAGCUUACUAACCUGUAACUGACAUUGAUGCUCGAAAGUGUGGGUAUCAAACAGGAUUAGAUACCCUGGUAGUCCACACGGUAAACGAUGAAUACUCGCUGUAGGCGAUAUACAGUCUGCGGCCAAGCGAAAGCAUUAAGUAUUCCACCUGGGGAGUA
rnacentral:rRNA from 1 species